rnacentral:tRNA from 1 species
GGUGGCUCAGUGGUAGAGUGCGUGCCUCUCAUACAUGAAGCCCUGGGUUCGAUUCCUCAGCACCA